rnacentral:rRNA from 1 species
GAUGAACGCUAGCUACAGGCUUAACACAUGCAAGUCGAGGGAACGAUAGAGAAAGCUUGCUUUUUCUAGGCGUCGACCGGCGCACGGGUGAGUAACGCGUAUCCAACCUGCCCAUCACUUGGGGAUAACCUUGCGAAAGUAAGACUAAUACCCAAUGACGUCUCUAGAAGACAUCUGAAGGAGAUUAAAGAUUUAUCGGUGAUGGAUGGGGAUGCGUCUGAUUAGCUUGUUGGCGGGGUAACGGCCCACCAAGGCGACGAUCAGUAGGGGUUCUGAGAGGAAGGUCCCCCACAUUGGAACUGAGACACGGUCCAAACUCCUACGGGAGGCAGCAGUGAGGAAUAUUGGUCAAUGGACGAGAGUCUGAACCAGCCAAGUAGCGUGCAGGAUGACGGCCCUAUGGGUUGUAAACUGCUUUUAUAAGGGAAUAAAGUGGGAGUCGUGACUCUUUUUGCAUGUACCUUAUGAAUAAAGGACCGGCUAAUUCCGUGCCAGCAG